rnacentral:rRNA from 1 species
GACGAACGCUGGCGGCGUGCUUAACACAUGCAAGUCGAACGGGAAGGCCCUGCUUUUGUGGGGUGCUCGAGUGGCGAACGGGUGAGUAACACGUGAGUAACCUGCCCUUGACUUUGGGAUAACUUCAGGAAACUGGGGCUAAUACCGGAUAGGAGCUCCUGCUGCAUGGUGGGGGUUGGAAAGUUUCGGCGGUUGGGGAUGGACUCGCGGCUUAUCAGCUUGUUGGUGGGGUAGUGGCUUACCACGGCUUUGACGGGUAGCCGGCCUGAGAGGGUGACCGGCCACAUUGGGACUGAGAUACGGCCCAGACUCCUACGGGAGGCAGCAGUGGGGAAUAUUGCACAAUGGGCGGAAGCCUGAUGCAGCAACGCCGCGUGCGGGAUGACGGCCUUCGGGUUGUAAACCGCUUUCGCCUGUGACGAAGCGUGAGUGACGGUAAUGGGUAAAGAAGCACCGGCUAACUACGUG